rnacentral:lncRNA from 1 species
CUUAUCCCAAUUAAUUGCAGAGAAAUGGGUGUUUUGUCCCUUGGCGUGAAGAAAUGAUAGUUAAAAUUUAAUUGUAUCUUUUCAGUAUCAUAAUUUAAGUUGCUUAGAAAUUAUGUAUGACCAUACCACUUGAUGGAUGGAAUAUAAGGAUUAACCUCAGGGGUUAAAUGGUUGUACACAGUAACCUUUUUUGACAAGCAUUAUCAGUUUUUUAAUUUAAAAGGGUUAAGUUGGCUCAAAGCUGUACAAUCAUGAAUUUUAUAAUGAUCUGGUAUGGGAAAAUGUGCAUAAAUCUAAAAUCUGUCUAGCAAAGGAGAAAGUGAAUACGGUCACACAGCAUAUGUUGGCUAUUUUUACGAUGCUCUGGAAUGCAGGAACUGACCCCAAAAUUUGUUAUUCCACUUUUAACGCAAUUGGACGGAAUUGAGAAGGUUUGAACCACUUCUAGCCUUCCUCCUUCCGCACUUGGAGCCGACAAUGAUAGGAUUAGACCACUCAAAUUUAUUCGAGAUAGUCAUUCUCUGCAGAUGGAAUUUUUUUGA